CGGGGCGUUUCUUUGACUGAUGUUGUUACGUUUAUCAGUCAUUGAAGUGCUUCUGU
rnacentral:pre_miRNA from 1 species